rnacentral:rRNA from 1 species
UCCGUAGGUUGAUAAUUAAGUCAGAGGUGAAAUCCUGCCGCUCAACGGUAGAAUUGCCUUUGAUACUGGUUAUCUUGAGUUAUUAUGAAGUAGUUAGAAUAUGUAGUGUAGCGGUGAAAUGCAUAGAUAUUACAUAGAAUACCAAUUGCGAAGGCAGAUUACUGGACAAUAACUGACGCUCAGGCACGAAAGCAUGGGUAGCGAAAG